AUUUUCUUUCACCUGGUAGCUGGUUUAAUAGAGCUCACGCUACUCAUACAGCAACACCAUAAUUGUCGCUGCUGCUACCAGCAACCAUUAUGUGGGGUAGGCGGCAGCAGAAAACUCAAACGUGUACAACACACAUGCCAGAUAAAACAUUCGAGGAAAAUUGGAAAGAUUAAUGGUAUUAACCUGAUGCUGGACGUGCUGGAAUGUUGACUGACGGCGCUGCUGUUCUGCUGUUUGGGAUGUGCACGCAGCGAGCGACGGAAGGAAUCACCCCGAUUGACCACUUUAUUGCUUUUGCCAUGGACGAUGAAAUGUCUCAACAGGAACGACGCGGACCGACUGAGAACGAACGUGUUGAGACGACUGUUGAUGACGCACCAAUAACUGCGAUGACUCUACACAAUUGCUAGAUCGAUGAGUUUGCUGAUGAUGAUGGCGUUGACUGUGCGAUUGGUUCCUCAUAC